GCUGGUAUAGCUCAGUGGUGGAGCAUGUGCUUAGCAUGCACAAGGUCCUGGGUUCGAUCCCUGGACCUCCU
rnacentral:tRNA from 1 species